rnacentral:lncRNA from 1 species
UCCUGUGCCUCUCCAUUCUGUUUCGUGCUGCCCAACCCAGUUGAGGAUCUGCACUCACCCAACUGAAGGGCUGGAUCCAGAAUGUCUCAUCCUAUGCACAGCUGACCCUCUUCAUCUAGUGAUUGGUCUUCCAGGGCUGGUCUCAGCAGAGGGGCAGGUCACUCAAGUGUUCAGACUUUGACUGCCAACUUACAUUCUCCUGAUCAAAAGGGGCGUCUGAAACUGUGGUUGCUGAGAACUUAAGACCCUGGACACCAUUACCUUUAGAACAUCUUUGUGGAUUGCUUCUUCAGGCUUCUGGCUAUGUGAAGGGACCCUCAAGGGAGCCACUUGUCCUCAUAGAACAGGUAUCUCUAGGCACCCUGUAUCUACUGACAGCUUUGCACUCGGACUGAGACCCAGGGCUGUGGGC